rnacentral:rRNA from 1 species
AGAGUUUGAUCCUGGCUCAGGACGAACGCUGGCGGCGUGCCUAAUACAUGCAAGUCGAGCGGACCGAUGGGAGCUUGCUCCCUUAGGUCAGCGGCGGACGGGUGAGUAACACGUGGGUAACCUGCCUGUAAGACUGGGAUAACUCCGGGAAACCGGGGCUAAUACCGGAUGCUUGAUUGAACCGCAUGGUUCAAUCAUAAAAGGUGGCUUUUAGCUACCACUUACAGAUGGACCCGCGGCGCAUUAGCUAGUUGGUGAGGUAACGGCUCACCAAGGCGACGAUGCGUAGCCGACCUGAGAG